ACCUUAACAGGCAUGCAGAAUCUGACUCAGGAACAGAGACUCAAGAGAACUAAGGUGCAGUAGGAAGCAGGUGGCAGAGUGAAGAUAAGCAGGAACAUUUCCUACCUAUAGUUGAGCAGUUUCAUGCUACAUCAUGGUGGAUCCCUCCCAAGUCACCACUGCCUAACAUUCCACAGAAUAUAGUUGAAAGAAUUGAAGAUGCAGAGUACUGAGCCCUCCACCUGCAAAUGCAUACAGCCAUGAACAGAUGGGUGUAAACUGAGGCAGUGGAGGGAGAGGGGUACUCCCAAGCCCUGAAAAUCUCAGAGUAAGAGGCCACCGACGACAGCGCUCACCGGUGCUGAGCUCCCUUCUACAGAAACCUGCAAAGACUCAGAUCGAGGAGGAAAUACACCAGGAAAAUGUCACAGGAUCAUCUCGAGUAUGACCUGGAACUAAAAGGAGCUGCACAUAUAAAUUGAUCCAAG
rnacentral:lncRNA from 10 species